rnacentral:rRNA from 1 species
GUGAGGAAUAUUGGACAAUGGGCGCAAGCCUGAUCCAGCCAUGCCGCGUGCAGGAAGACGCAUCUAUGGUGUGUAAACUGCUUUUGUACGGGAAGAAACACUCCCUCGUGAGGGAGCUUGACGGUACCGUAAGAAUAAGGAUCGGCUAACUCCGUGCCAGCAGCCGCGGUAAUACGGAGGAUCCAAGCGUUAUCCGGAAUCAUUGGGUGUAAAGGGUCCGUAGGCGGUUUAAUAAGUCAGUGGUGAAAGCCCAUCGCUCAACGAUGGAACGGCCAUUGAUACUGUUAGACUUGAAUUAAAAGGAAGUAACUAGAAUAUGUAGUGUAGCGGUGAAAUGCUUAGAUAUUACAUGGAAUACCAAUUGCGAAGGCAGGUUACUACUUGUGGAUUGACGCUGAUGGACGAAAGCGUGGGGAGCGAACAGGAUUAGAAACCCGGGUAGUCC